rnacentral:rRNA from 1 species
CCUGCGGAGGGAUCAUUACUGAGUUUACGCUCUACAACCCUUUGUGAACAUACCUAUAACUGUUGCUUCGGCGGGUAGGGUCUCCGUGACCCUCCCGGCCUCCCGCCCCCGGGCGGGUCGGCGCCCGCCGGAGGAUAACCAAACUCUGAUUUAACGACGUUUCUUCUGAGUGGUACAAGCAAAUAAUCAAAACUUUUAACAACGGAUCUCUUGGUUCUGGCAUCGAUGAAGAACGCAGCGAAAUGCGAUAAGUAAUGUGAAUUGCAGAAUUCAGUGAAUCAUCGAAUCUUUGAACGCACAUUGCGCCCGCCAGCAUUCUGGCGGGCAUGCCUGUUCGAGCGUCAUUUCAACCCUCAAGCUCUGCUUGGUGUUGGGGCCCUACAGCUGAUGUAGGCCCUCAAAGGUAGUGGCGGACCCUCCCGGAGCCUCCUUUGCGUAGUAACUUUACGUCUCGCACUGGGAUCCGGAGGGACUCUUGCCGUAAAACCCCCAAUUCUCCAAAGGUUGACCUCGGAUCAGGUAGGAAUACCCGCUGAACUUAAGCAUAUCAAUAA